AAUGAACGCUGGCGGCAGGCCUAACACAUGCAAGUCGAACGGGUCCUUCGGGACUAGUGGCGGACGGGUGAGUAACGCGUGGGAACAUACCCUUUGGUACGGAAUAGCCUCGGGAAACUGAGAGUAAUACCGUAUGUGCUCGAGAGGGGAAAGAUUUAUCGCCAAAGGAUUGGCCCGCGUUGGAUUAGGUAGUUGGUGGGGUAAUGGCCUACCAAGCCGACGAUCCAUAGCUGGUUUGAGAGGAUGAUCAGCCACACUGGGACUGAGACACGGCCCAGACUCCUACGGGAGGCAGCAGUGGGGAAUCUUAGACAAUGGGGGAAACCCUGAUCUAGCCAUGCCGCGUGAUCGAUGAAGGCCUUAGGGUUGUAAAGAUCUUUCAGAUGGGAAGAUAAUGACGGUACCAUCAGAAGAAGCCCCGGCUAACUCCGUGCCAGCAGCCGCCGUAA
rnacentral:rRNA from 1 species